GUCCCUGUAGCGCAAUGGAUAGCCCGUUGAACUUCUAAUCCAAAGGUCGUGGGUUUAAAUCCUAUCUGGGAUG
rnacentral:tRNA from 1 species